UAGGGAAUCUUCCGCAAUGGACGAAAGUCUGACGGAGCAACGCCGCGUGAGCGAUGAAGGCCUUCGGGUCGUAAAGCUCUGUUGUUAGGGAAGAACAAGUACCGGAGUAACUGCCGGUACCUUGACGGUACCUAACCAGAAAGCCACGGCUAACUACGUGCCAGCAGCCGCGGUAAUACGUAGGUGGCAAGCGUUAGUCCGGAAUUAUUGGGCGUAAAGCGCGCGCAGGCGGUCCUUUAAGUCUGAUGUGAAAGCCCACGGCUCAACCGUGGAGGGUCAUUGGAAACUGGGGGACUUGAGUACAGAAGAGGAAAGCGGAAUUCCACGUGUAGCGGUGAAAUGCGUAGAGAUGUGGAGGAACACCAGUGGCGAAGGCGGCUUUCUGGUCUGUAACUGGACGCUGGGGCGCGAAAGCGUGGGGAGCAAACAGGAUUAGAUACCCUGGUAGUCCACGCCGUAAACGAUGAGUGCUAAGUGUUAGAGGGUUUCCGCCCUUUAGUGCUGCAGCUAACGCU
rnacentral:rRNA from 1 species